ACUAACCAGGAUUCCCCCAGUAACGGCGAGUGAAGGGGGAUUAGCCCAGCAUCGAAGCCUAUGGUUGUUUAACUGUAAGGCAAUGUGAUGUUAUGGACUAUGCCUAGGGUCACUGAUCAACUCGAAGUCCAAUAUUGAAUGUGGCUUUUGUAUUUAGCCCAUAGCGGGUGAUAGGCCCCUGCGAGUUGAUUGUUAGUUGUGUUGAGUGGCCUCUAGAAGCAUUGUCUAUGGAGUCGGAUUGCUUGAGAAUGCAGUCCAAAGUUGGUGGUAAACUCCAUCAAAGGCUAAAUACUGGCACGAGUCCGAUAGCAAACAAGUACCGUGAGGGAAAGUUGAAAAGUACUCUGAAGAGAGAGUAAAUAGUACGUGAAACCACAUGUAGGUAAACGGGUGGAGUCCAGCUGCGU
rnacentral:rRNA from 1 species